CGACUGGCGGCAUGCCUUACACAUGCAAGUCGAACGGCAGCAUGGAAGAGCUUGCUCUUCUGAUGGCGAGUGGCGAACGGGUGAGUAAAGCAUCGGAACGUACCGUGUAGUGGGGGAUAACGUAGCGAAAGUUACGCUAAUACCGCAUACGCACUGAGGUGGAAAGCAGGGGAUCGCAAGACCUUGCGCUAUACGAGCGGCCGAUGUCAGAUUAGCUAGUUGGUAGGGUAAAGGCCUACCAAGGCGACGAUCUGUAGCGGGUCUGAGAGGAUGAUCCGCCACACUGGGACUGAGACACGGCCCAGACUCCUACGGGAGGCAGCAGUGGGGAAUUUUGGACAAUGGGGGAAACCCUGAUCCAGCCAUGCCGCGUGAGUGAAGAAGGCCUUCGGGUUGUAAAGCUCUUUCGGCUGGGAAGAAAUCGCACAGGCUAAUACUCUGUGUGGAUGACGGUACCAGCACAAGAAGCACCGGCUAACUACGUG
rnacentral:rRNA from 1 species